rnacentral:rRNA from 1 species
GAUGAACGCUAGCUACAGGCUUAACACAUGCAAGUCGAGGGGAAACGAUAUUGGAAGCUUGCUUCCGAUAGGCGUCGACCGGCGCACGGGUGAGUAACGCGUAUCCAACCUGCCCAUCACUUGGGGAUAACCUUGCGAAAGUAAGACUAAUACCCAAUGACGUCUCUAGAAGACAUCUGAAAGAGAUUAAAAGAUUUAUCGGUGAUGGAUGGGGAUGCGUCUGAUUAGCUUGUUGGCGGGGUAACGCCCACCAAGGCGACGAUCAGUAGGGGUUCUGAGAGGAAGGUCCCCCACAUUGGAACUGAGACACGGUCCAAAACUCCUACGGGAGCAGCAGUGAGGAAUACUUGGUCAAAUGGACGAGAGUCUGAACCAGCCAAGUAGCGUGAAGGAUGACUGCCCUAUGGGUUGUAAAACUUCUUUUAUAUUGGGAAUAAAACGUUGUCCACGUGUGGAUUUUUGUAUGUACCAUAUGAAUAAGGAUCGGCUAAUUCCGUGCC